AUGGAGGUUCCAGAAGAUCGUAGAGUUCCUUUGGUCGCAUACAAGCUGAAAGGAGGAGCAGGUGCAUGGUGGCAUCGCAUUCAAGAAGAGCGCAGACUGAGAGGAGAACCUCGUGUGAGAACUUGGCGGCAAAUGAAAGGCCUCUUGAAAGGGAGAUUUUUGCCCGCUGAUUAUGACCAGAUACUAUUUAGCCAAUUGCAAAAUUGUGCUCAAGGAAAAAGGAUUGUUUCAGAUUACAUGGAGUUUCUAAGGCUACAAGUGAGGUGCAACCUUGCUGAAACGGAAGAUCAACAAGUUGCAAGGUACAUCAAUGGUCUCAAUGAUGCUAUUCAAGAUCGAUUAAUGAUGCAACAAAUCUGGUCCAUUGAUCAAGCACAAGCUCUAGCCUUAAAGGCCGAGAGGUUUGUGAGGACAAGAAAGGCAACUAAGGCUCCACACCCUCCAUAUCCUCAUACCAAAGGCUCGUCUAGGAGUCAGCCUAAUAGAGUGGAAGAAAAGACUGCUCCACCAAAGGCAAAAGGACCCAUCCAGAAGCAAAUUAGAGGCAAGGGUAAGUCUAAUAAAGGCCCAAAGUGCUAUAAAUGUGGUGAAGAGGGACACAUAUCCGGCGGUUGCCCACUAAGGAAAUUUGUUAACACAACUAUCCAUGAUGGUGAAGACGACGAGGAAUAA
rnacentral:rRNA from 1 species